rnacentral:rRNA from 1 species
GUGCCAGCAGCCGCGGUAAUACGUAGGUGGCAAGCGUUAUCCGGAAUUAUUGGGCGUAAAGCGCGCGUAGGCGGUUUUUUAAGUCUGAUGUGAAAGCCCACGGCUCAACCGUGGAGGGUCAUUGGAAACUGGAAAACUUGAGUGCAGAAGAGGAAAGUGGAAUUCCAUGUGUAGCGGUGAAAUGCGCAGAGAUAUGGAGGAACACCAGUGGCGAAGGCGACUUUCUGGUCUGUAACUGACGCUGAUGUGCGAAAGCGUGGGGCCAAACAGGAUUAGAUAC